rnacentral:rRNA from 1 species
ACUCCUACGGGAGGCAGCAGUUAGGAAUCUUGCGCAAUGGGCGAAAGCCUGACGCAGCGAUGCCGCGUGCGGGAUGAAGGCCUUCGGGUCGUAAACCGCUUUCAGCAGGGACGAAGCGAAAGUGACGGUACCUGCAGAAGAAGCACCGGCCAACUACGUGCCAGCAGCCGCGGUAAU